rnacentral:rRNA from 2 species
CCAAUAGCGUAUAUUAAAGUUGUUGCAGUUAAAAAGCUCGUAGUUGAACUUCGGGGUUUACUCAUUGGUCAGGCUUAAUUGUCUGUACUGGUGAGAUGAAUCUCUACCUUCUGAGGAACUUUCAUGCCAUUUAGUUGGUGUGAUUGGAAAUCAGGACUGUUACUUUGAAAAAAUUAGAGUGUUUAAAGCAGGCUAACGUCUGAAUACAUUAGCAUGGAAUAAUGAAAUAGGACGGAUUGGUUCUAUUUCGUUGGUUUCUAGGAUCACCGUAAUGAUUAAUAGGGAUAGUUGGGGGCAUUAGUAUUCAAUUGUCAGAGGUGAAAUUCUUGGAUUUAUUGAAGACUAACUAUUGCGAAAGCAUUUGCCAAGGAUGUUUUCAUUAAUCAAGAACGAAAGUUAGGGGAUCGAAGACGAUCAGAUACCGUCGUAGUCUUAACCAUAAACUAUGCCGACUAGGGAUCGGACGAAGUUAAUUUUAUAAUGACGCGUUCGGCACCUUACG